AUGGAGAGAUGUAUUCUACUGAUUCUUAUAACAGCAGCAGGUGUAUUUGCUGACAGCAUUAAACCAAAAGACACCAAUGUAAUCAGAAGUGAUGGAGAAUCUGUGACACUUAGCUACACAUAUAAAGCAACCAGCAGUUAUAUUAGACUUUACUGGUACAGACAGAAUCCUAACAGAGAACCUCAGUUUAUUCUGUGGAAAGGCGCUCGAUCUGAGAGCAGAUAUAAGGAUAUACCAGAGACUCGGUUUGACUCGACUACAUCAGACACAUCCACUGAACUCAUUAUUAAGAGUGUUUCUCUGUCAGAUUCAGCUCUAUAUUACUGUGCUCUGAGAGAUGGAGCCCAGUGA